AACGAACGCUGGCGGCAGGCCUAACACAUGCAAGUCGAGCGCCCCGCCAGUGGGGCGGCGGACGGGUGGGUAACGCGUGGGAAUAUGCCCUUUGCUACGGCAUAGUCUCGGUAUACUGGGGGUAUUACCUUAUACGCCCUUUGCGGGUAACAUUUAUCGCCGAAGGAUUAGCCCGCGUUGGCUUAGGUCGUUGGUGGGUUAAUGGCGUCGCAAUCCGACGAUCCAUAGCUGGUUUGAGAGGAUGAUCAGCCACACUGGGACUGAGACACGGUCGAGACUACUACGGGAGGGAGGAGUGGGGAAUCUUAGACAAUGGGGGCAACGCUGAACGAGCCAUGCCGGGUGAGUGAUGAAGGCCGUAGGGUUGUAAAGCUCGUUCAGAUGGGAAGAUAAUGACGGUACCAGAAGAAGAAGCCCCGGCUAACUCCGUG
rnacentral:rRNA from 1 species